CUGGUAUGGAGUACCAUGGCCUCUUUUUUUGCCGCUCAUGGCAGCCAUUUUGCACUGGUAACCAUGGCACUUUUAUUAAGAUAUGUGUACCAGCCCCUCAAUAUAUAUAGUUUUUUAUCCCAAAAAGUAGUGUGUUAGAACAACCAGUGCUCCAAACUUUGCUUAGCUGCAUACCAUUUCUCUUCAAUUAAAUUAUGGAACACUUAAUCCCAUUUAUUGGCAUCUACACUAAGGAUAAUGAGAUGGGGUGGUUGGCCUUCCAUUAUGUUGUUGUGCAGCUUUUAUUAUUUGUAGUCUAUGACCUCUGAGUAUAAUUCUACAUUGCAUUUAUCAAGACAAAAGCCUUUGUAUGGACAUAAAUUCAAAUUAUGGCUGAAAUCAAAGGCAGAAUCCAAAUGUAGUCAUUGGGCAUGCAAGCUUAUGGUUUUAAAUCAAAUAGCCCCCUUAACUGAGAAAUAUUCUUGACUGCAAUUUUUCCAUCAGCUCUUCUCAACCCUGACUAUCCAAAAUGUUUCGAUUAUCACGAAGAUUCACUUGUUUUAUAUUCCCUCCUUAGGUGCUGUAUCAUCGAAUAAAUUCUGCUAUAUGUCUUGAUUUACCACAAAAGUUAAGUGUCAUAUUUUAAGCAAAUAAAAAUGAUUAAAAGAUGACAGCUGGCAAAUUAUGCUAACAUCUGGUAACAAAUCAUUCCUGACAGUUCAAUACUAAAAUUCUUAUAGCUCAGCUAUUAAUGUUAUAAACAGUGAGUGAGUUGUGGGGGGGAAAGUAGCACUUGACUAAUAUAUUCCCUGAAGUGAUAGGGAAAAUGCACUGUUUAUCUUAAUGGGAAAGAAAUGCCAUCCAUUCGUUUUCUGUGUUCAAAACAGAUUGUAGAUGAAUAACUCUAAACACAGACUUUUAACUAGCCUUAACAUUAUAUAUGAAAUGAUUGUGAGGAGAAGGAAUUCAAAAAAUGGAGGGUCACUCAGGUCUCUCAAAAUGAUAAUAUGUUUUGUUGCUGUUGUUUGAGGAUAGAGAUUUGUUCUUAUUUUUUUUUAGUAGUUUAGGGUCAGUUCUCACAAAUGCUUCUGGACAUUGUUUUUCAUCUGUAGUAAUAAAGAGAUUGAUUGAGGAGUCUGCCAGUGAUCCAUAGUUUGAUUCAGAAAGCUAGUCAAAAUUAUCUUAUUUGAUUUUGGCUUCCGGCCAAGUGCCUAGACAAGCAAUACAACAAACUAAAGGCUGGCUCUCUAGUUGUUUUUGGACUACAACUCCCAUCAGCCCCAGCUGGCAUGGCCAAUGGCCAGGCAUGAUGGGAGUUGUAGCAACAUCUGGAGGGUACCAUACUGGCUACCCUUGUUAUAUGUUAUUUACAACGUUGAUAAAAUAUUUGCAAUGUCUGGGAGUCAGGUUCCAUAUGGAUGCCAUAAUGUAUUACACUUGCCUUCUGGUGUGGAAAUGCCUACUUGUGAGGGAAAAUACCAGGCUGUGGUGAUUGUGGGUAUACUUUUUAAAAAUUCCAUCCUCAGAUAAGGCUGUACUUCUUCCUCUCCUAUACAAACUAUUAUCUGCCAUCCAUAGCUAAAAAUCCCAGUGUUCAUAGGGGCCUGAAAGUGUAUCUGGUCCAUAUACAAAGGGCAUACAACCAACUACACCUCUCUUUGUCUCUUUUCAUCCUACCUCCCUGGGGCAAUACACUUUCAAGAUGGAUACAGCUGUGUAUUUCUCUGGCCUAUGAGGCACAGAAGCUACCUGUUUCCAGACACUUGACCGCUCACUCUACGAGGUCAGUGGCAACUUCCACUGCCUUUUCUACAAAUGCCUCUUUGCUAGAAAUAUGCGGUGUGGCAUAUGCCAGGUGUCCUUUCACCAGGCAUUAUGAAAUGAAUGCCUUUGCUUCUGCUGAAGCAGAAUUUGCCUAGAGAGUCCUUCAGUCAGCUCUACAACAGUAAUUCCUGUUGUAGCUGGGACCCACCGUAGUUGGGUGAGCUGUUGGAACUGCCUUGGCAACUGUUCUGAGCCACCUGAAAGCCCAAUUUGGCAUAAAGGGUCCCAUGGUCCUGUCUUCCAUUAAACUGUAUCUGGUUUUAAAAAUGUGAUAUGCAGAUACCUCACAAAAUCACUUGAGUAGGCAGUGAUCAAGUGGAAUGGGUUGAGGAACUAACUGAUGGUUGUACUGUGGAAUAUUUAUAACCUGGUGCUGUUUUAAUCUGGCUGUUUUUUUAUGGUUCCUAGAAUCCCUUUAGGUGUUAAUGUUUUAUGAAUGCUUGGAUUGUGGUGUUAUUUGUUGUUUCAAUUGCACUCAGCUUCAAGUGCCAUUUGAGAGAGAAGGCUGCUUCUAAGUGCCUGAAAUAAAUAAUUAAUACAUAAUUAUCACCUUCCACUAACUUGGCUUAGUUGAUGGUUACUGUUAUUUUAUUUUAUUUUAAGAACGCUUUGUCCAAGACAACUGAGCUAUGAUAGCUAUUUUUCAAAAAUCCAUUAUCAUUCUGCCAAGGACGGCCAUAUGAAUCGGCUUUGAUCAUAACUGAGGCAAAUUAGAUUUUUUGAGUUCUUAGUAAGAGACAAAUAGAAUUCCAUUGAUAGAUGUUGCAGAAAAAAUUAGUAAGGUUACAUAAAGAGUUGGGGCAUACAUGUGAUUCAAUUUACAUUUUAAGGUGAACCUACCUAAUUCGCCUUUUCCAAAACAAUAUGAGAACCGAAAAAUAGCCAUCCUUCAGAAUGUCCACUGCUCCGAAUUUAGGAUUGCAGUUAUCUAGCCAGGCAAUGUGUACAACAAUCCACAUGUUCAGUGCUGGAUUUAUGUAUAAGCUAAACAAGCUAUAGCUUAGGGCCCCACUCUCUUGAGGGCCCCCCAAAAAAUGUAAAGGAAAAAACAACCUGGAUGUACAUUUCC
rnacentral:lncRNA from 1 species